GAUGAACGCUAGCUACAGGCUUAACACAUGCAAGUCGAGGGGCAGCAUGGAAGAAGCUUGCUUCUUCUGAUGGCGACCGGCGCACGGGUGCGUAACGCGUAUCAAACCUGCCUCAUACUCGGGGAUAGCCUUGCGAAAGUAAGAUUAAUACCCGAUGUUGUUAUGUUACCGCAUGGUGAUAUAACCAAAGAUUUAUCGGUAUGAGAUGGUGAUGCGUCCGAUUAGGUAGUAGGCGGGGUAACGGCCCACCUAGCCUUCGAUCGGUAGGGGUUCUGAGAGGAAGGUCCCCCACACUGGAACUGAGACACGGUCCAGACUCCUACGGGAGGCAGCAGUGAGGAAUAUUGGUCAAUGGACGCAAGUCUGAACCAGCCAAGUAGCGUGCAGGAUGACGGCCCUCCGGGUUGUAAACUGCUUUUAGUUGGGAAUAAAAAAGAGGACGUGUCCUCUAUUGUAUGACCUCA
rnacentral:rRNA from 2 species